GCCCUUGUAGGCUAAUGGAAAGACCACAGGAUUCCGGAUCCUGUUGUGUGGGUUCGAGUCCCGCCAAGGGCG
rnacentral:tRNA from 1 species